rnacentral:rRNA from 1 species
UACGGAGGGUGCGAGCGUUGUCCGGAAUCAUUGGGCGUAAAGGGCGCGUAGGUGGCGGGACAAGCGUGCGGUGAAAGCCUGGGGCUCAACCCCGGGUCGGCCGUGCGAACUGUUUUGCUUGAGCACUGUAGAGGCAGGCGGAAUUCCUGGUGUAGCGGUGGAAUGCGCAGAUAUCAGGAGGAACACCGAUGGCGAAGGCAGGUCUCUGGGCCAUAACUGACGCUGAGAAGCGAAAGCAUGGGGGAGCGAACAGG